UAUAUAUUUGAUGAUUACUGAGACAGUUUGAGAUAUAUCCUCCCAUAUACUCUGGCUUUCCCAUAGUCUAUUUGAGAAGAAAAGGAAAUGGAGAGCAAGAAAGAAGUUGGUUCGUCAUCCUCAUUCACUGCUGAUCUUUUUGGUUCCAAACAAUCAUCAUCAUCAUCAUGCAAAGGGAUUUUCAGUUCAAUUUUUCCACCUCCAUCAAUGGCAUUAGAAUCAUGGACGAAACAGCCUUUACAACAUGGAAUGCAAGCUCCACUUGCUGAGAGUGCAACCUAUAGCAUAACCAACAAGGAAAUGAACUCUGUUUUCAAGGAAGAAAGGAUGGAACCAUGCCAUUUAAGUUCAUCUAUUUACUAUGGAGGCCGAGACAAUAUAUGGUCAUCCCUCAAGUACCCAAACUUCUACAUCAUAUCCUACUUUUAAGAAAGAUGGAGAAGAUCCUAACGGAAGCAAUUCACAGGAUGCUUCUAGGGGAAACUGGUGGCAAGGUACACUUCUUUUCUAAUGCAACUAUGAAUUAUACCAUAUCGAUAUCUCGAAACUCGACUUUGAUUUCUGCAGGUUCACUUUAUUAUUAGAGCCUAGCUUUUCAGUGCAUAGCACUGUCCAUCAGUUUCCCAAGGAAUUUUUCAUAAAAGCAAGCAAAUAAUCAUGGAAGAUAUAAAGUAUAAAUAAGUUUCUGACAUGGACAGAUCCUACAUAGGGUUCUGUAAUAUGACAUGUUUUCAUAAUUUUAUCCGGAAAUGAAUUUUGAGAAGUCUCCAUUAUAGGCUCUUCUCUGGGUAAUUUCUAUUUGGCUUAGGAGAAUGAUUGCUUCUAUAAAUAUAGAUACCAAUGCUUGAGAUGCAAUUUUCCAGUAUUCAUAAAGAAGGAUUGCCCUUUGCAAGGAAAAUAAAUUAAAUGCAAGACUGAAAUAGAAUAUCAACAUAUUUCUAGUGGCAAUGAGCAAGAAAAAGUUACUUUUACUGAUAUCUGCAAUUUCACAUGGUUCCAAGUGCAGAUAUGAGAUGAAAUUCUUCUUAACACACCGUCACUAGCAUUUCUUGCCUAAAUAAGCCAAGACUAUGUAGAUCCAAAUGUCCCUGUCAUGCCGUCUAUAUUUGUACCAGGCUGAAAGAGAUUACAGCCCAUAAAUUCAAAGAAAUAAAAUAGGUUUAAU